UGUGUUCCUCUGGAUGGCUGCCAUGUUAAAGUGAAAGAGAAAACAAAGCCAGCAGAGCAGCACAUUCUUAGGGCCUGAGCUGUGAAGAUGUGACUUUACUACAGCUGGAUGUGUGUGAUGAACCCACUGAGGGACAUCGACAGUCACACAAAGAUCUGCUCAUCAAUGAGUCCCUGAACAUAUAAGCAGUGGCAGAAGAAAACUGAGGACAAAAGUGGCAGCAGUUAUGAAGGCCCAGAAGGGAUGGAGCUGCUUUGUGUUCUUUGUACUCCGCAUGACACACGUCGUCUGGACACAGAGGUUUCAAGUUGUUUCACCUUCCUCAACUCUUCGUGCUUUAGUUGGUGAAGAUGUCACCCUACCAGCCUCACUCUCACCAGCUAUCAAUGCUCAGGGGUUUGAGGUCAGGUGGUUUCGAGACGACUU